rnacentral:rRNA from 1 species
UGAGGAACAUGACCUUCGGCGGGGGAUAGCCGGCCCAACGGCCGGGUAAUACCGCGUACGACCUUUUGGGGACAUCCCCGAUUGGUGAAAGCAGCAAUGCGCCGAUGGAGUGCCUCGCGGCCUAUCAGCUAGUUGGUGAGGUAACGGCUCACCAAGGCGACGACGGGUAGCUGGUCUGAGAGGAUGGCCAGCCACAUUGGGACUGAGACACGGCCCAGACUCCGUACGGGAGGNAGCG